AUGACCCUAAUAGCCACACCUGGGGAAAGAAGGUGCGGCAAGCACCAGAAACAACACCGGCGUCAUUUGAUACAAACGAAAACCAUGUCAGAUCAAACCACGUGUUAAAAGUCUCACCGAUCUCCUGCCACCUGUACCGGGAACAUCCAUGACAAGCAAAAGGUGGAGAUGGUGAAGGUAGAGAGGAGCAGAAUGUGGAGACGGUGAAGGUAGUGAGGAGCAGAAUGUGGAGACGGUGAAGGUAGUGAGGAGCAGAAUGUGGAGAUGGUAAAGGUAGUGAGGUUCAGAAUGUGGAGAUGGUAAAGGUAGUGAGGAGCAGAAUGUGGAGAUGGUGAAGGUAGUGAGGAGCAGAAUGUGGAGAUGGUGAAGGUAGUGAGGAGCAGAAUGUGGAGAUGGUGAAGGUAGUGAGGAGCAGAAUGUGGUGGUGGUGAAGGUAGUGAGGAGCAGAACGUGGAGAUGGUGAAGGUAGUGAGGAGCAGAAUGUGGAGAUGGUGAAGGUAGUGAGGAGCAGAAUGUGGAGAUGGUGAAGGUAGUGAGGAGCAGAAUGUGGAGAUGGUGAAGGUAGUGAGGAGCAGAAUGUGGAGAUGGUGAAGGUAGUGAGGAGCAGAAUGUGGUGGUGGUGAAGGUAGUGAGGAGCAGAACGUGGAGAUGGUGAAGGUAGUGAGGAGCAGAAUGUGGAGAUGGUGAAGGUAGUGAGGAGCAGAAUGUGGAGAUGGUGAAGGUAGUGAGGAGCAGAAUGUGGUGGUGGUGAAGGUAGUGAGGAGCAGAAUGUGGAGAUGGUGGAGGUAGAGAGGAGCAGAAUGUGGAGAUGGUGAAUGUAGUGAGGAGCAGAAUGUGGUGGAGAGGAGCUGAAUGUGGAGACGGUUGUAGUGCUAUUACUGGACAUGUGUUGUUC